GUGCUCACUUCACAGUAGCACAUAUGCUAAGAUGGGAACGUUGCAGAGAAGAUUAGCAUGCCCCCUGUGCAAGGAUGACAUGCAAAUUUGUGAAGCAUUCUAUAUUUUA
ensembl:snRNA U6 U6 spliceosomal RNA